rnacentral:rRNA from 1 species
CGAUUCCUCCUCCACCCCUGCGGAGGGAUCAUUACUGAGGGUACGCUCUCCAACCCUCUGUGUACAUCCCUAUAAAUGUUGGUGGGGCGGGUAGGAUAUCCGUGACCCUCCCGCCCCCCCGCCCCCGGGCGGGUCGGCGCCCGCCGGACGAUAACCAAACUCUGAUCUAACGACGUUUCUUCUGAGUGGUACAAGCAAAUAAUCAAAACUUUUAACAACGGAUCUCUUGGUUCUGGCAUCGAUGAAGAACGCAGCGAAAUGCGAUAAGUAAUGUGAAUUGCAGAAUUCAGUGAAUCAUCGAAUCUUUGAACGCACAUUGCGCCCGCCAGCAUUCUGGCGGGCAUGCCUGUUCGAGCGUCAUUUCAACCCUCAAGCUCUGCUUGGUGUUGGGGCCCUACAGCUGAUGUAGGCCCUCAAAGGUAGUGGCGGACCCUCCCGGAGCCUCCUUUGCGUAGUAACUUUACGUCUCGCACUGGGAUCCGGAGGGACUCUUGCCGUAAAACCCCCCAAUUUUCCAAAGGUGACGCUCGGAUCAGGUAGGAAUACCCGCUGAAGCUAAG